rnacentral:rRNA from 1 species
UACGUAGGGUGCGAGCGUUGUCCGGAAUUAUUGGGCGUAAAGGGCUCGUAGGCGGUCUGUCGCGUCGGGAGUGAAAACUCAGGGCUUAACCCUGAGCCUGCUCCCGAUACGGGCAGACUAGAGGUAUGCAGGGGAGAACGGAAUUCCUGGUGUAGCGGUGAAAUGCGCAGAUAUCAGGAGGAACACCGGUGGCGAAGGCAGCCUCCUGGGCCAACACUGACGCUCAUGCACGAAAGCGUGGGGAGCAAACAGG